GAGGAGAGGGGGAGAGGCCUAUCCUUCUACCUUUCAAAGGCGAUCCGCCGAACCAGGCCAGGUAUCAUCAGCCCCAGAGAAGUUGAACGUUGAUUGCCAGCUGUGUCGAUAAGAUCUGAUACAGACACUCGAGUUUCCAAAGGCUGCGAAAGGUCACGAACCCUGCUCAACCGUGUGCAACUCGUGAUACUUUGCCGGAUCCAUUCGCAGGGUUCCAUCGCGGCUCUUUCGUAUCUUUCUGCUUAACUUUCGUGGCUGAACCGUUAGACACCGUUUUAUUUUAACCAUAUAACCCCCUUCUCGGAGAGAACAUCCGUUCUCCGAGCACACAGUAGAAUAUUAGCACGGGCCAUAUUCUGGUUAAUUUAAUGGAAC